ACCAGACGCGAACGCUCGCCGGUCCGUCGACCGUCAUUCGUACGACUGCUGCAAUCAACAACAAACGUUCUCGCGCCGAGUUCUCUCAUUUCACUACCACCAUUUAAACCACACUCAGUUCUUAUUUCGUUAUGACAAUAUUACUAUGAAUUCCGCCGCCGUUUACUUAUACUUGCCGUACUUACUCACACCGCAACAUAAAACUACAAUUUUUACGUUUUUAUUCUCAUCGUCCGACACCCGAGUAAACUGCCGAUUUCAUCGUUAUUCUCGCGCCGAUGUCACGAUUACGAUAUUAUAUUAUUUUGUGUUUGAUUUUUUUCCGCUAUUUUUUUUUUUAAAUUUAAUUUUAUCACAUCCCCCGCAACAAACAUUUAAGAACGAUCGCAGAACUCGACAACUCGCGCUCAUCUCCAGGCUACAGACAGUCUUCCGAUACAUCGUCGGCGACGAUCAACCGACGACAUUGUUAUUGACACUCAUAUAAUAUCAUGACGUACUCGAUGCACCGUGCAGACGCGUUUAAUGUUGAAAUGUGGAAUAGUGUACUAUUCGGAUCUAUAGUAUAAUAUACACGUCUUUGCAGAUUAAAAUUACAUUCGUAUCGUCAUCGAUGAUGGAAAUUUCAAACACACUAUUUUCGAUCACUAUUCAAACUCCUCGAUACGGAUAUGGACAAGCGGUUGUGUGACGAAUGGAUGACGUGUACCUGCAUAAUGCAAUUUACGGAGCAAAAUAUGUAGUACGCAAUAAAACGCAAAAAAGAAUUCGUUUUUCGGCGAUUAUAUUAUAUAUGUAUACGGUCAAACGAGUUGCCAUCUCAAACGCGAUACGGCAGCAACAACGAUGAGAUCAAUACGGCCAUUUCAUACAAAAUAUCAUUGGAUCACUGCAGCAGUACCUAGUCAAAGCUAUUCCCUCGAACCGUUGAGUGGCGGCGACAGAAGCGAUAUUGUUCCUAAGAACCCGAUGCGAUUUGUCGCGUGUCGGUGGGCCGCCAGACGCAGACGAUCGACGGUUAUCACUCUCCGCUGGCGGAAUUCGGUGGCUAAGCGAACGCUCCAGGACCUCGAUAUAAUAUAAUUGAAUUCCACGCGGGCGCCGCAACAAAAUAAACGGUCUGCGUUUUACCGACGAAAUUCCACCGACCGCGACGUCGUCGUCUUCCGUGGUCUGGAGAAAAACUCGGUGAGCCCGGUGCAACAAUGAUGACGAUGAUGAUAGUAAUAAUAACAACAGCAGCAGAAACAACAAUGACGACCACAACAACAACAUCAUCAACAACACAAACAAUAUAUAGGCAACGUAGUCCGGGUGACGAACAUUUCCGGAAUCGCAACUAUUGUCGCCAUCGAGUUCAAUGGAUGAUUGAUUCCCGUCCAGAGAGGAGUGAACUUUUCAGUAACAAACAAACGAACAGGUAAAACAUUUUAGGUUUUCGAUAGUGUUUUAAAAAUAAAGACAACGGGUCGCCAGUCGCCACAAAAGCAUACAUCUCGCCCGCACAAUGGUCGAGGCGCUGCGCCCACGACGUUUUUGUUUCGAUAAUGAUGUCGUUUCAAAUGGAAACGAAACUUUUGUUCGAAAUUUCAGUUUGCGUAAAUAUUCAUUAAAUGUUCGUUAUUUUCCCGCUCACGUUAAUUAUAGUAAUAUAAUGGUUACGUGUUAACUGGUCGUUCGUAAAUCUCGGGACUUCACGUUCAAUGACCACAUUAUCGUCAAAUCGUAUUUCACUGCAGCUGUGCGUUACUUUUUAUAGAGUCAUCUAGCGUUUUUUUUAAAUAACUAAACGAUAUGACAAAAUAUCAAAUUCAAAAUCGAAUCAAUAUAAAUAAAAAAUUUUAAAAAUAUAUAUUUUACUUAAAAUAUGCGUUACAUGACAUAUAAUUUAUAGUAAUUCGAACUUUAGUGACGACCGAAUAUAUAUAAUAUACGAACCUAACAGUGCAAUACAAUUACAAUUUACAACCCCGAAUGGGGCUGCGACUUGCUAUCUGCAUUAAUUUGAUAAUUUUAUUAUUAACACUAUAACUUACUCUGCAGUGAGUGCGUAGCAGCGAUAACGUUAAAUUCCCGCGAGUGCAAUUCCGAUGCAAAAGAACUCAUUGGAAUCAAUCAUAUCUUAUAAACCAUAAUUAAAUAAUAAUAUGACGUAUUGCGAUGUCUUUCACGUCGGCGGAGACAUGGACGAGAAUAAACCAUUUUCUUUACAACUCGGACGCGUUUUGCCAACCGUUUGGUCGUUGCUGGAAAAAGGGUGGCGAUGGCGACGUGAAACCGUAUACACAGACUGCACACUGUGUCGCGUGCGAUUUCUGGGGGGGGGGGGGGCGGUGUUACGGUAAUUAUAUUAUUAUUAUUAUUAUUAUUACGGUCACGUCAUAUUAUUAUCACGACGACGACGACGUCUCACAUCGCCGUCGUCGCGCGGACACACAGACGCAGAAAAGCAGCAGAUAAUAAUAAUUAAUAUGGCACCGCAGCGUCAGUGUCGGCGGUUGAAUAACCUCAUCGCAUCCCGGUGCAGUCGUUGUUCUAACAGUUUCGGCGUCGUUUCCUGCGCCGCCGCGAGUUGAUUAAACGCCGUCAUCACGCUCCAGUUUCGUGCAGAUCUCGUAUCGCGAGCCCGACCGACCGUGUGCAUUUCGUCUUUAAGUCGUAUUAUAAUAUUAUACGCAUUUCCACCGCAAGUGGAACGCGUACGGCGGCGGUGCGUGCGCCGGUAAUCUAAUAUAUCGCGUCCAGGCUGCAACAUUACCACGGUAUGUGUAUAAUAUUAUUCUAUUAUUCUAUUUUAAUGCGCGCGCAAUACCAUUGCUAUAAUAUAUUAUUAUAUUACUAUACGGUCACUGUUACAACGUUCUACGAGAUGGUGGCGUAUGAUAUUACACGCAGCCGACGCAGCAGCUGUAGGUAUACGAUAUAUUAUUGUAAUACGAUGAUGUCUUAGAAAAACCUACUUGCAACGAUAAUAAUAUUAUUGUAUACACGCGUGGGCAUAGUAUAAUAUUAUUAUUAUAUUCGGCGGUGGUCGCGUUUUUCCGAUAUUUUAUUGUACGUCGUUUGCCGCCCCGAGAGACUCUGUUUACAUCGUAUACCUAUUAUGUUAUAUAUAUAUAUAUAUACCUAUAGCGUAUAAUAAUAUAAUAUACAUUAUAAUAAUAUUAUACUGCUGCACUGUGAGAGACCGUGGUGGGAGGAACUGACGUAGCGGACGAGUCGUCGCGGACUACAACGGGCUCAUCGUGACCGGAUCUCGCGGAUAAUCGUGAUCGUCGAAAACGUUGCAGAACAGCGAAACGAAAUUAGGCGCACUGCUGAAACUUGUAAUAAUAUAAUGUAUUGAUAUAUAUGUACGACAGCCGAGGGGGGGGGGGGAAUAAAAGAUAAAAUAAAAGAUGUUUUGUUGUUCAAAUCAUAUUUAAAACAAUAGUUGUAGAGCAUUUAACAGGUGUGUUAUUUUGAAUUUUUGGGGCAUUAUAUAAUAUGACAUAUGUCAUUAUGACGAUACCUAUGCGUGUAUCUGAGGCGAUUAGGAAUCACACUCCGAUCAACGCCGUUCUGAUCGGAUAUCAGCAUAUUACUCGUACAUAGUUUGCUAUUCCUACCAUGUUGUAUAGGUAGGUGUUUGUACGAAUAGAAUUAUUUACGAUCGAAUAUCAUACCAGAAAUGAUAAUAAAUAUACGAACGUACCUAUACGAAUAUAUAUAAAAUAUAUAUAACAGUACGAAUUUAGCGGGACACAAGAAUUUCGGUAUUUCGUAUUUUUCUGCACGUUUCGUUUCGGAGCCGACCGAUAUAAUAUAAUAUUGGAUCCUUAUAGCGUACAAUAUUAUAAUAUUAUCUAUUACCACUCUUACCGGCAUGGUACCUUUUUUUUAUACUAUUAUAAGUAUAUCCGCGGCGUCGAAAAAAAAUCGUCUGAUAGAAUUCGCGUCGAUCAAACAUGAAAUUCAAAUGAAGCCACUGCCGGUCCCACCGGCCGCCCGCGGCGGAGACGCGCGCGCACAGAUCGCCGCACGUGCGGCGUUUCGCCAUAUUUUCACGCGUCGAGGCGCGCAUAGUACACGAUUUUCGCGGUCUCUCUCUCCCCCUCUCUCUUUCUAUCUUUCCCUCUUUCCCUCUCCACGCUCUCGCCCUCACUCUUUUCUCAUCCAUCUCUCUC